rnacentral:lncRNA from 1 species
AAAAAAAGAGAAUAAGAGAAGAAAAAAGAAAAAAAAAUAGUAUGAGAACGAGAUGGUUGGGGAUGAUGUGUAUUGGUAACGUGCAUUGGUGAUGUCAAUGAUUAGUAGUGAUGCAUACAUGGAUGACAUCGGUUAUGGUGACAAUGGUGAGAAGAGUUAGAGAAGGUAGUGGGGAUGGAGGAUGUGAAGGAAGAGAAAGACAAAUAGAAAGAGGACGAGACUCCAAAGGAUAAAAAUGACCUAGAGCGGUAGUGGUGGCACAACGGUCAAUUAGUGACGAGGAAAAAAAAUAAAGGAUAAAGAAGAUUAGGAAGAGGAAGAAAGAGACCCAAUUGUGUAUUUUACCAACAAAUAUUACAGACAAAUAUUUAUUAGCAAACAUUUACCAAUGGAUUUGUUGUCAUCAAUACUUAUCUAUAUCCGUAAAUAAAAUUUACUAAU